UCCCAGAAGAAGCCAGAGGUAGCGGCCCCAGC
rnacentral:piRNA from 1 species